UCCACCGACCGACCGAACCAGCUCCCUCAAAAAAAAAAAAAAUCCCCCGUCUCGUCCUCUGUUCGUGAGCACCGAUGUGCAGCCACUCCGGCGGGCGGCGGCGUUGCACGGCGACUCCAGCGGCUCCGGAGGCGCGGAGUCCCCAGCCACCAGGAAGCAACCGCAGGAGGCUCGGCUACUCGGGCACUACAGGCGCCGCUAUUGCCCCAGCACCACGGGCCCGGCGGCGAAUCUGGCAAGCACGUGUGCCGCACCUCCGGCGACUAGCCGACGCCCACAAAGGGACUCCCUCUGACUGGAUGUCCAGAAUGUGGAAGAGAAUCGUGAAGCAGUCAGCGACAUGUCUGAAUCCGGGCAAAUAUUCAGUGGAAUGCCCAAGGAAUGGCAAGGAUAUGAAGGUGAAAUACUGGCGUUUCUUCAUGUGGCUGGACAAGUACUUGGACAUGGUCGAGGAAAUUUGGAUGAUAAAUGUGCUCAUCAUGGGCAAUGCGUCUGCUCGCCGCGUGUCACGAGAAAUGCAGCGACGUAUUGAUGCUACGAGGGCUGAAAAUGAUGCUACAAGAGCUCAAAUUGAUGCUACAAGAGCUCAAAUUGAUGCUAUUAGGGUUGAGACUGCAGCACUGGAUCGACGUAUCGAGAAGUUGGCCGCCCAAAAUGCAAAGCUUCAGGUUUUAGUGUACUUUGUUUUCGUCAUUCUUCUUCUAGUGUUGCUACUGAAGCUAGUGAAGUAGAAUAUCUGCGCAAUGGAUCGUGGUCACUUUGUUGAAUGGGACAGACAUGUCGGACUGGUUGGUUCUGUUGAGAUAUGUAGUGUUUAGAGAAAUUGCAAGUUUACCAAGGGGUGUGACCUUCAUUUCACGUGGCAUUACUAGGCUCAGAAUUUUGAAAUUAUUCAAGUAAUUAGACAUGGCAGAUGACCAAGAUGGCAAAGAAAACAAGGGCGUAUGAUCUAUGGCGAACUAAAAUAGGGCAUAUGACCCCCUGCAAAAAUAAAAUAAGGGCAUAUGAUCAAAUCUCCCUGAAAGCUUCCACAUCAUUAUCCCAGAUGGCUAUGGGAAAAGCUUUUUGUUCCAAGAGAACACCGAAUUAUAUCAAAGAGAUGAGAGAUUAAACCUUUCUUCAUGUUCAUGUUUCACUUAUUUUUACAUGCUGAACUGGAAAGUAAAUAAAGAACUGGUGCAGCCACCACAGUUUGAGGCAGAGGUUCUAUGUUACCCAAAGCCAAAGAUUCUUUGUGAUUAUUUGUCAUGGAGACAAGCAGAAUGCCACAACAGAAACCAGUACAACACAUGCUUUUGGAUACUAGUGAAGUCCGGAAAAGGUGAAGGUGAAGAUGAAGUUCAUGAGAUACUGAAGGGAACAUUAUCAACGGACAAGAACGAUUUGCUCUUUCAGCGGUUUCGGAUAAACUACAACAACGACCCAGAGAUGUUCCAGAAGGGUUCGUGUACUUGCCAGCAAAAGGUAUUCUGUCCAUCUAUCAUUCGAGAGAUGUUUUUCAACAACAAUGAGAAGUACUGCUAUGAUGAGAAGAAGAUGAUUCUCGUAGCUUGCACCAGUUUCUCCGCUAAUGGCCUAAAGUGCAGGUGGUCCAAACCACAACCUCGAACUUGCUUAACCGUCUAAAUCUCCCCUCUAACCUGCUUAGACCGAUUUUGGUCUCGGUUCUCUUUUCUUCUUUCUUCUUUCUCCUCUCCCUCUCUCUGCCAGCCAUGGUUCUCUUCAGCCCAUGCCCUGGUUAAGAGGCAACUUGCUGCCGCUGGUGCUCAUACAUCCGCCCGCCGUGAGCGGCGGGCACUUCCUCACCUCUCCCACUCAUCCUCGCACACCAUGCCGCCACUGCUCCUGCAUUUGGUGACGUCGGCCUGCUGCUGCUCGCCGCUCACGGUUGUGCUUUUCCAGCUCUCUUGCUCGUCUGAACUCCCCAUGACGUGACCUGUUCUUCCCACCGCCUUCGAGCUCCUGGUAUUUCAUCCUUCAACCAGCUCCAUCUUCUGUGUUGGAUGUCAUGUGGAGUUGUUUUGAAGAAAACUGGACUGAAAGCCAGUUUAACUGGGUUAGGGGUGGGGGUGAUUUUGGGUUUAGCGAGUUUGAGCUUGUGACAACUCAAGUAUAGAUGGUUUCAACAAGAAUGCGGACUUCUCUCUUCCAACAAGAAUGAGAAGAAGAUGGUUUCUCUGCCAAUGGCCUAGAGUGCACUGCAGUUGGGAGUGUUCGCAGAGGUGUGAUUUCGCCGGAGAGCGACGGGAGAUAUGUUUAACCGGAACCGGAAAUGAUAUGUUUCUUUUAAGAGGGGAAAGAAAUGAUGUGUUUCGAAACGACGGUUGGUAAAAAGGAGGUCGGGCGUUCGAUCUCUCGACCGGCUUCCCUUACGUACGUAAAUAAGUGCCUUUUUAUUUCAUUCACGCGCCCCUCGAUUGGGCCUCGCACGCGCGCCGGUCCAUGCGGGCGAGACUGCACCGUUCCCAGGUUUGAUUAGUCCCACAUCGCCCGUCGUGGGACGGCACUGCCAGUUUAUAUACUGCGUUGGCUAUCAUGGUAUCACCUCCACGGGGAUAACAGACUGAGAAAAAAAAAGAGGGCUUGCAGCCCAGAAAAAUAGAGAAAAGAGGCCUUAGUUAGAUAGAGCCCAAGAGAAAAAAAGGAAAGAGGCCGUAGUGCCAAAAAAGAAGAAAAAGAUGAGCCCAAGAAAAAAAAAGAAAAAGCAGAAAAGCUGUGAAGUUUGUGCCCAAAGAGGCCAGAGCCGAAAAAUCCCCAAGGCAUUAGCACAUUGCUUUUUUUUUUGGUAGUUUUGAACCCUUACAUUUUCCACACCAUUUUCUUUCAACUGGGGGCAUCAACCUCUAAGGCCGGAUCGAGGAGGAUAUUGCCAAUAAAGUGCGUCCAUGUAUUUUUUUACAUUUCAACUCUUACGUGCCCUUUUCCCCCUCACUCAUAUAUAAUAUACUUCUUCCAUUCCUAAAUAUAAGUCUUUCUAGAGAUUCCACUAAGGAUUACAUACGGAGCAAAAUGAGUGAAUCCACACUCUAAAGUGCGUCUAUAUACAUUCGUAUGUAGUCCGCAUAGAAAUCUCUAAAAAGACUUACAUUUAGGAAGAGGGAGUAGUAAUUAUUGCUGAUAAAAAGGUAGCAGAAGGUCGUUCUUUCUUACUCUAAGUUGCAUUCGGGUGCUGCCGUUUUAGAGCUAGGCGAUAUUCUUUGUGUAAACCAGUAUCGUAUCUGUUCGAUAUGGACCAUUCUAUAAGUAUAGUCAUUUCAGUCUUCCUCAAAGGAUCUCCGAUCUAUUGUGCAACCUUCCCUUCGAAACCCACCCACACGAAUACUUCUACCCCUUAUCACAGCUCCAAUGCCCACAGGCAUCUGUCUCUAGCACAAAUCUUUUACUGAAAUCAGGGAGAACCAACACAGGGGCUGUGAAGUUUGUGCCCAAGAAAAAAAAAAGAAAAAGCAGAAAAGCUGUGAAGUUUGUGCCCAAAGAGGCCAGAGCCGAAAAAUCCCCAAGGCAUUAGCACAUUGCUUUUUUUUUUUGUAGUUUUGAACCCUUACAUUUUCCACACCAUUUUCUUUCAACUGGGGGCAUCAACCUCUAAGGCCGGAUCGAGGAGGAUAUUGCCAAUAAAGUGCGUCCAUGUAUUUUUUUACAUUUCAACUCUUACGUGCCCUUUUCCCCCUCACUCAUAUAUAAUAUACUUCUUCCAUUCCUAAAUAUAAGUCUUUCUAGAGAUUCCACUAAGGAUUACAUACGGAGCAAAAUGAGUGAAUCCACACUCUAAAGUGCGUCUAUAUACAUUCGUAUGUAGUCCGCAUAGAAAUCUCUAAAAAGACUUACAUUUAGGAACAGAGGGAGUAGUAAUUAUUGCUGAUAAAAAGGUAGCAGAAGGUCGUUCUUUCUUACUCUAAGUUGCAUUCGGGUGCUGCCGUUUUAGAGCUAGGCGAUAUUCUUUGUGUAAACCAGUAUCGUAUCUGUUCGAUAUGGACCAUUCUAUAAGUAUAGUCAUUUCAGUCUUCCUCAAAGGAUCUCCGAUCUAUUGUGCAACCUUCCCUUCGAAACCCACCCACACGAAUACUUCUACCCCUUAUCACAGCUCCAAUGCCCACAGGCAUCUGUCUCUAGCACAAAUCUUUUACUGAAAUCAGGGAGAACCAACACAGGGGCUGUGAAGUUUGUGCCCAAGAAAAAAAAAAGAAAAAGCAGAAAAGCUGUGAAGUUUGUGCCCAAAGAGGCCAGAGCCGAAAAAUCCCCAAGGCAUUAGCACAUUGCUUUUUUUUUUUGUAGUUUUGAACCCUUACAUUUUCCACACCAUUUUCUUUCAACUGGGGGCAUCAACCUCUAAGGCCGGAUCGAGGAGGAUAUUGCCAAUAAAGUGCGUCCAUGUAUUUUUUUACAUUUCAACUCUUACGUGCCCUUUUCCCCCUCACUCAUAUAUAAUAUACUUCUUCCAUUCUUAAAUAUAAGUCUUUCUAGAGAUUCCACUAAGGAUUACAUACGGAGCAAAAUGAGUGAAUCCACACUCUAAAGUGCGUCUAUAUACAUUCGUAUGUAGUCCGCAUAGAAAUCUCUAAAAAGACUUAUAUUUAGGAACAGAGGGAGUAGUAAUUAUUGCUGAUAAAAAGGUAGCAGAAGGUCGUUCUUUCUUACUCUAAGUUGCAUUCGGGUGCUGCCGUUUUAGAGCUAGGCGAUAUUCUUUGUGUAAACCAGUAUCGUAUCUGUUCGAUAUGGACCAUUCUAUAAGUAUAGUCAUUUCAGUCUUCCUCAAAGGAUCUCCGAUCUAUUGUGCAACCUUCCCUUCGAAACCCACCCACACGAAUACUUCUACCCCUUAUCACAGCUCCAAUGCCCACAGGCAUCUGUCUCUAGCACAAAUCUUUUACUGAAAUCAGGGAGAACCAACACAGGGGCUGUGAAGUUUGUGCCCAAGAAAAAAAAAAGAAAAAGCAGAAAAGCUGUGAAGUUUGUGCCCAAAGAGGCCAGAGCCGAAAAAUCCCCAAGGCAUUAGCACAUUGCUUUUUUUUUUUGUAGUUUUGAACCCUUACAUUUUCCACACCAUUUUCUUUCAACUGGGGGCAUCAACCUCUAAGGCCGGAUCGAGGAGGAUAUUGCCAAUAAAGUGCGUCCAUGUAUUUUUUUACAUUUCAACUCUUACGUGCCCUUUUCCCCCUCACUCAUAUAUAAUAUACUUCUUCCAUUCCUAAAUAUAAGUCUUUCUAGAGAUUCCACUAAGGAUUACAUACAGAGCAAAAUAAGUGAAUCCACACUCUAAAGUGCGUCUAUAUACAUUCGUAUGUGGUCCGCAUAGAAAUCUCUACAAAGACUUACAUUUAGGAACAGAGGGAGUAGUAAUUAUUGCUGAUAAAAAGGUAGCAGAAGGUCGUUCUUUCUUACUCUAAGUUUCACUCGGGUGCUGCCGUUUUAGAGCUAGGCGAUAUUCUUUGUGUAAACCAGUAUCGUAUCUGUUCGAUAUGGACCAUUCUAUAAGUAUAGUCAUUUCAGUCUUCCUCAAAGGAUCUCCGAUCUAUUGUGCAACCUUCCCUUCGAAACCCACCCACACGAAUACUUCUACCCCUUAUCACAGCUCCAAUGCCCACAGGCAUCUGUCUCUAGCACAAAUCUUUUACUGAAAUCAGGGAGAACCAACACAGGGGCUGUGAAGUUUGUGCCCAAGAAAAAAAAAAGAAAAAGCAGAAAAGCUGUGAAGUUUGUGCCCAAAGAGGCCAGAGCCGAAAAAUCCCCAAGGCAUUAGCACAUUGCUUUUUUUUUUGUAGUUUUGAACCCUUACAUUUUCCACACCAUUUUCUUUCAACUGGGGGCAUCAACCUCUAAGGCCGGAUCGAGGAGGAUAUUGCCAAUAAAGUGCGUCCAUGUAUUUUUUUACAUUUCAACUCUUACGUGCCCUUUUCCCCCUCACUCAUAUAUAAUAUACUUCUUCCAUUCCUAAAUAUAAGUCUUUCUAGAGAUUCCACUAAGGAUUACAUACAGAGCAAAAUAAGUGAAUCCACACUCUAAAGUGCGUCUAUAUACAUUCGUAUGUGGUCCGCAUAGAAAUCUCUACAAAGACUUACAUUUAGGAACAGAGGGAGUAGUAAUUAUUGCUGAUAAAAAGGUAGCAGAAGGUCGUUCUUUCUUACUCUAAGUUUCACUCGGGUGCUGCCGUUUUAGAGCUAGGCGAUAUUCUUUGUGUAAACCAGUAUCGUAUCUGUUCGAUAUGGACCAUUCUAUAAGUAUAGUCAUUUCAGUCUUCCUCAAAGGAUCUCCGAUCUAUUGUGCAACCUUCCCUUCGAAACCCACCCACACGAAUACUUCUACCCCUUAUCACAGCUCCAAUGCCCACAGGCAUCUGUCUCUAGCACAAAUCUUUUACUGAAAUCAGGGAGAACCAACACAGGGGCUGUGAAGUUUGUGCCCAAGAAAAAAAAAAGAAAAAGCAGAAAAGCUGUGAAGUUUGUGCCCAAAGAGGCCAGAGCCGAAAAAUCCCCAAGGCAUUAGCACAUUGCUUUUUUUUUUUGUAGUUUUGAACCCUUACAUUUUCCACACCAUUUUCUUUCAACUGGGGGCAUCAACCUCUAAGGCCGGAUCGAGGAGGAUAUUGCCAAUAAAGUGCGUCCAUGUAUUUUUUUACAUUUCAACUCUUACGUGCCCUUUUCCCCCUCACUCAUAUAUAAUAUACUUCUUCCAUUCCUAAAUAUAAGUCUUUCUAGAGAUUCCACUAAGGAUUACAUACGGAGCAAAAUGAGUGAAUCCACACUCUAAAGUGCGUCUAUAUACAUUCGUAUGUAGUCCGCAUAGAAAUCUCUAAAAAGACUUACAUUUAGGAACAGAGGGAGUAGUAAUUAUUGCUGAUAAAAAGGUAGCAGAAGGUCGUUCUUUCUUACUCUAAGUUGCAUUCGGGUGCUGCCGUUUUAGAGCUAGGCGAUAUUCUUUGUGUAAACCAGUAUCGUAUCUGUUCGAUAUGGACCAUUCUAUAAGUAUAGUCAUUUCAGUCUUCCUCAAAGGAUCUCCGAUCUAUUGUGCAACCUUCCCUUCGAAACCCACCCACACGAAUACUUCUACCCCUUAUCACAGCUCCAAUGCCCACAGGCAUCUGUCUCUAGCACAAAUCUUUUACUGAAAUCAGGGAGAACCAACACAGGGGCUGUGAAGUUUGUGCCCAAGAAAAAAAAAAGAAAAAGCAGAAAAGCUGUGAAGUUUGUGCCCAAAGAGGCCAGAGCCGAAAAAUCCCCAAGGCAUUAGCACAUUGCUUUUUUUUUUUGUAGUUUUGAACCCUUACAUUUUCCACACCAUUUUCUUUCAACUGGGGGCAUCAACCUCUAAGGCCGGAUCGAGGAGGAUAUUGCCAAUAAAGUGCGUCCAUGUAUUUUUUUACAUUUCAACUCUUACGUGCCCUUUUCCCCCUCACUCAUAUAUAAUAUACUUCUUCCAUUCCUAAAUAUAAGUCUUUCUAGAGAUUCCACUAAGGAUUACAUACAGAGCAAAAUAAGUGAAUCCACACUCUAAAGUGCGUCUAUAUACAUUCGUAUGUGGUCCGCAUAGAAAUCUCUACAAAGACUUACAUUUAGGAACAGAGGGAGUAGUAAUUAUUGCUGAUAAAAAGGUAGCAGAAGGUCGUUCUUUCUUACUCUAAGUUUCACUCGGGUGCUGCCGUUUUAGAGCUAGGCGAUAUUCUUUGUGUAAACCAGUAUCGUAUCUGUUCGAUAUGGACCAUUCUAUAAGUAUAGUCAUUUCAGUCUUCCUCAAAGGAUCUCCGAUCUAUUGUGCAACCUUCCCUUCGAAACCCACCCACACGAAUACUUCUACCCCUUAUCACAGCUCCAAUGCCCACAGGCAUCUGUCUCUAGCACAAAUCUUUUACUGAAAUCAGGGAGAACCAACAUAGGGGCCUCAAUUAAAGCUUGCUUGAGAACAUCAAAGGAUUGCUUUGGCUUGUCCACACAAAUGAUACUCCUUUCUUUAACAAGUUCGUGAGAGGUCUCCUAAUUAUGUAUAUACAGGAUGAGUCACAUCUUGACCGGAGCCAUGCGGAGCACAAAAAGUGAAGAGAAAGGAUUUGUUCACCACUUUAAGCCAAAAGAUAGAAAUGAAAGCUGUUCCCAUAGAAUGAGAUUAGAUCCCGCAAGUGAGCUAUUUAUACCGAAGCUUACAAGAAGCAAAGUUGAAAUGGGAGCUUUCCCACCACGGCAUCCAACUCUUCUCUUCUGUAAGCAAAGGGGCUUUCAACUAGAUAGGGAGCUAUACAAUUUCACCCGUGGGUGGGGCUGGCUACGCUUGCUAGAUUGGAUCAAAUAUACGUGUCCUACGCUAGGCUCGUUGUUUCACUCCUCCAAGCAUUCCUUGCCAAUGGGUAAAGCCUUUAUCUAUCACUUCGGUCGGAGACAUAUUAAUUACCUUUUUUAUCCUUGGACCCUUGAAAGCUCGCUUCCCUUCCUGAACUGAGGGAAACCGGUGCCUGAGAGAUCCGAUAUCUGCAGUCUCUGAGCUUGAUUGCACAUCUUUUCCUGCUCAUACAUGUGUUUUUGCACGCUUGAGACCUCCUCUUUCGCUUGGCUAUCCGAGGAAAGAUGUCUUACGAGGUGGGUUGGACAACGUCCGUAGUGAGCCUGCUACUAUCAGUGUGAAGAUGGGCAUCUAUCUUUCUUUUCAGGAUUUAGUGUGUGUGUGCUUGUUCUUAAGGGAACGUGCAAAUCACCCAAUCAUAUCAGGAUGGAUCCAAUGGGUGUGAUUUUUGUCUGUAUUGAUCACUUACCCACGCUAUAAGAAGGAGGGCGUCAUGGAAGAGUUUGGGGGUCCAAAGCCACACCUUCUUUCCCCCAUAGGAAUAGAGGUCAGGAGUUGCCGGCAGGGCGCUGCAUUCAAUCUGACUGAUGGCUCAAGAUAAGUACGAGACGUACUUGAGAUAGAUAAUUUAUGUAUUUCGCUAUUUCAAAUACCUAAACUGCUGCUAACAAGAAUAAGUACGGAGAGAUUGGAUCUCCCUGGCGUAGUCCCUGAGAAGGUUUGAAUUCCUCAAGACGCUCCCCAUUGAAAAGAACCGAGAAGGUAACUGAAGUCACUAACCUCAUCACCAUAGAAAUUCCACCUUCGCUGAAAAAAAGUGGGCUAGAUAGCCGUCCAGGCCAGGGGCCUUUCAGGGUACAUCUUAAAAAGGUCACACUUCAGAACCAGUAAAGGGCGCAAUCAAUUGCUCAUUCAUUGCCUGAGAUACUUUCCGAGGAACUGUCGACAGAACGAACAUCCUCCAUUCUUUCAGUACCUUCAGCAGGAUAGAGAUGUUUAAAGAACUCAUUCGUCAUCCCACUCAUCUCCUCUGAAGGGACAACGAAGGAUUGUCUGAAGUAGGACCUAUUCAUAGCUCAUUUCAAAUGGGCCAAAGAAAUUAGGGCCACAGAGACCCCCCCGGUGUCAUGAAAAGAGAAACUUUCGGUAGUCACAAAACCCUAUUUUAAGAAAUAAGUCAUUAGAUCUUGUAUCAGCUAUAGCAGUGAAGUUCUCAUAAGCUUUCAUCAUGUCGAGCUUUAGUGCACACACCUGAUCAUCUCGUGCCUUUUAUAUAGUUUCUAGUUUAGGAGUCCGAGCUGGAAGAACAAAAGGUGGAGCUCCGCCCUAGUGUUACCCUUUGCCUCGCUCUUUAGAGGCAUGAGUGGUCACAACUCGACGUAGUCUAGCAGUUCUAUUUGGCGCACGAAUUGCGUAUAACAAAGUUGAAGAAGGCAUUCUAGGAGCUAAAGGCGUCUCACUCGUCUCUCAUUCGCUCGAUGCUUAAGUACCGGUUUGCUUCUACGUCUACGGUUGAACUUGAAGGCCUCGGAUUUCGAAACCUGUAGAGCUUGCACGGUGAAGAACAAGUACAUACUUCAUACGAAGAAAUGGUAGUCGGACUCCUCUGGUUUUCUCCACAGUAGGAGUAAGCAUAAUCCUAAAGCCGGCCCAAUGGGCUAUAUUUCUUUAGAGUACUCAAAAAGUGUGCUUUUGUCGGAGGGAGAUUGUUGGGUCUAUGUAGAAUAGAGAAGCAGCAAAAGAAAAUAAAUUGAGUAGCCAAAGGCCUCGUGCACAGUAUGGAAGGAAGAGGAAAAAUGCACGGUACGCAAUGUAUGAUGAUGAACGUAUGGAGUUAGUUCGGUGGGUUGGUUGGGGAGUAGGGCCGGGGGGAGAAACUUGUCCCUUCUUGAUGGCGAGUAUAUGCUUGGAUCGAUUCUUGUGCUCCCUAUGCGCGUGUUCUUGAUCACCGAACAAGUUACAAAAUAAGUUUAUGCGCUCCUAUCCUUGUUCUUGUGAGUCCUUGUGAAGCUACAUUGGUGAUGGUUGGUGGUAGAUGCGGAUUACCAGCGAGCUCUGGAUGCUACUCUUAGGGAUAUUAUUACUGUGCUUUUUUGCUAUGGUUAGUCAUGAUUACUGAUCAGUUGAGCAGUUCUUUUGAAUGUACCAAUUUUAUUUUUUCAUUUAUUUGUUUCCCCCCAUUUGAAACAGGGCUCAAGUCGCUUCGUGAGAUGCAUUUCACACCUGACUCACCUCCCACGCCUAAAAUGUCUCCAGUUGUGCAUGUCCGUGCUGCUGCCGCCCCAGGACAAGUGAAGUGCCCCCAUCGACUAUGGAGGAGCUUUCGAUGUCUGUGCCGCGCGAUCAGUCGGGAUCGGUGGCCUUCAGUUCCUGCCGGAUUUCCCUUGUGACGUUAGUCCUCGCAGUAGCAGCUGCAGCCUUGAUCAUGUUGCUGUUCUGAUACAUGCUUGUCUGACCUCGCUCUUGAACUUGUGCAUGUCUGCUUCGUCUUUCUUGAUCGGUUCCUCAUAUUGCAUACAAUGAAGUGGUGUCAUGUAAUGCUGGGCAUAAUCUCUGAAAACUCCUGACUGGUUCGGUGUGGUUUUGUUUAUUCAACACCAAUUGCCUUAGCUUUCUUUUUCUGAA